ensembl:misc_RNA 7SK 7SK RNA
GGAUGUGAGGGUGAUCUGGCUAUGACAUCUGUCAUCCCAUUGAUUGCCAGGGUUGAUUCAGCUGAUUUGGCUGGCUAGGUGGGUGUCUCCUUCCUCCCUCACUGCUCCAUGUGCGUCCCUCCCGAAGGGUAUACAAUUAACUGCGCUUCCCUGCUAGAAUCUCCAAUAAGCUCUCAAGAAUCCCAUUACUAUUCCCUAUAACUUAGUGCAAAUGUACAUAAGCAAAUGAGCAGUUAUUCACUUUAUCU